rnacentral:lncRNA from 1 species
UUUACAACUUUUCAUAGCGAAUGAGAUGUCAAGUCUUUCGUAUUGUGUUGAAUACAUUGAUGCGUCUAAUUGUACUUAGAUGGGAACUCCAUCUCUUAACACAUAUUUGUCAUCUUGUUUUAGACAAAACAACUGAUCUCUCUUUAGAGCAAAGACCUUGACUAAUCAUAAGAGUAUAUGUAGGCCUCACUAGUUAUAGAGCGCCUAAGCCGAUUGAUGGAAAAUCAUCAUCAAUACAGUCAUCGAGUGCCUUAUCGAGACCAUGUCUUCCCAAGAUCUUUUUCUUCGGAUGCUGAUACAUAUUGGCAUCUCUUGAUCCAUCAAGAGUCCAUGUAAAUCCGAAAUGAACACGCAAAGGUAUAAUUCACCAUAUCCCUUCCAAAUCAAGUAGAGUCCAUGUGCGUUUCAAUACAUUUAGCAAACGCAUGCUCCUGUGGUUUGGAGCCACUUGAUUCGGAUGAAUGAAGUCCGUUUAAGAUCUUCAUGUAUAUCUCUGAUCCCAUAGAGAUGUUAUUAUGACCACAUUCAUAGGCUGCUUGUUCAGUUAUUCGGAAACUACCAAACUGACAAAGUAGUGGAGUUCAAUGACAUCCAUUACGAGAGCAUAUCUCAUCGUAGUUGAUCCUAGUGCGUGUUAGUGAGAGACCUUGCGCCAUAAGGUGAGUCUAAGCUCUUACUCUCACUAUGCUAUCUAACAAAGGCAUAGUUGAUAGGGUUUAACUUGCGAUGUCGGCAUCACCUGUCCAAGGACCUAUCUCUUUGUUAAUGCUGGAUCGCAUCUUUCCAUUAGGCCAAUCAACUAAGUUGAUAUCCAUCAACGAAGGGUGGUUCGAUAGUAGACUCAUUAUCUCACGUCCUCAUGUACACUAGUGUAAUACUUGUAGAGAUCUCUAUAUGGAUUGGAUUUGACAUUGAGGCGUCCCCCAACGAUAAUCACAAUUCAUACUUCAUGAGACGGAUUUGAGUAUCACUGAUCAAUGGAUCAGGUUGUGCCAAGCUCGCUUUCUUUCUAGUGCAAGACAAUAUCGAACCUAAGGGCCUCCCUCCUUUUAGGGAGCCACACGGCCUUGUGACACCAAUUUUGCCACUAUAUGGCGUCACCAUAUCACCAUCCAUGGUGAUGGCGUCAAGACCAACACUUUUUGGUCGCGCCAUGUCCUUUUGUAGGACAUCAAUCCUUGCAAACAUAUUUGCAGCAUGUGAUCUCGUCACUUUAACACUAUAAGCAUUUGGGAUCAAGAUGAGACUUAGUGGAGACAAACCACGACAAUUCACGUCGUUCCACUUGAACACUUGUGUUCUUAU